rnacentral:rRNA from 1 species
AAAGAGUUUUAUUCUGGCUUGAGAAUUAUUAUAAAGUGUAUUAACAUGUAAAUGAAUAUUCUAAAUGAGUUAAUAUAAGCAGUUAAUUGAUUUUUAUAAAUAAGUAAAUUUAGUUGAAGUAAACUUUAAAGUAUUGAUUAAACAUGUGCCAGCAAUCGCGGUUAAACAUGAGAUACAAAUAAUUUUUAUUAAAAUUGAAGUAAUUGUUUUUUUUAGUGAAAUGAAUAAAUAAUAUAAUGAAUUUGUUUUUAUUAUUUAAGUCUUUGAAAUACAUUUUAUAAACUAGGAUUAGAUACCCUAUUAUUGUGUAUAUAAAUUUGUUAUUUUAAAUAUUAAUAGUUAUGUUCUUGAAACUUAAAGAAGUUGACGGUAUUUUAGUCUUUUCAGAGGAAUCUGUUCUAUAAUUGAUAAUACACGAGUUGAAAUACUUUAUUUUGUGAAGCUUGUAUAUCGUUGUCAUAAAUUUAUCUUUAAGAAGAUUAUUUUUGGUUUAAAUUAUUAAUUGAGAUGUCAAAUCAAGGUGCAGCUUAUAAUAAAGUAGAAAUGGAUUACAAUUUUAUGGUAAACGGAUAAAUUAAUUUUAAAAGGUUAUUGAAGAUGGAUUUGAUUGUAAAUUUAUUAAUUAAUUUAUUGAUUAGAGCUCUAAAAUAUGUACAUAUCGCCCGUCAUUCCUGUUUAUAAAAUGGGACAAGUCGUAACAAAGUAGAUGUACUGGAAAGUGUAUCUAGUAAGUCAAUUUUUGUUUGUAAUUAAUUUAUUAUGGUUAAAUUAUGCUUUUUAUCAUAUUAUUAAAAAUAUUUUUAAUUUUAGUUGAGAUUAGUAAAUUUUAUUGAAUAUUUUUAUAUAUUAUAGUUAACGGUACUGUGAAGGAACUAUGAAAUAGAAAAGUUAUUUAUAAAAAAGAAAGAUGUUGUACCUUUUGUAUCAGGGUUAAUUAAAUAAUUUAUAUAAAUAUAUAUUUCUCGAAUAAAAAAGAGUUAUUUAAAUAUUUAAGUUAAUGUAAA